rnacentral:rRNA from 1 species
UACGUAGGUGGCAAGCGUUGUCCGGAUUUACUGGGCGUAAAGAGCGCGCAGGCGGCUUGGCAAGUCGGGUGUGAAAUCCCGGGGCUCAACCCCGUGACUGCAUCCGAUACUGUCAGGCUAGAGGUAGGUAGGGGAGAUCGGAAUUCCUGGUGUAGCGGUGAAAUGCGCAGAUAUUAGGAGGAACACCGGUGGCGAAGGCGCCGCUCUGGGCCGAAACUGACGCUGAGGAGCGAAAGCAUGGGUAGCAAACAGG